rnacentral:lncRNA from 1 species
AAGAUUGAACCAACGUGCAUCCGGGAGCUUACCCGUCUCUUGUCUUUGCGGAACAUUUCUCACCGACAUGACCUCUCUUCCCAAGAUUUCAACAUUGUUAGGACCAAAUUUGUCCUCAACUGUCACAAUUAUAAAAUCCUCAAAAGGUUCACAACUUAGUAUAGCUUGAGCUCUUUCUCCUUGAGUAGCUAAAUCUCCAACCACAGUCUGUACUCUACCUGCAACACUUCUCAAUCUGUCAUACCUCAUUCUCACAAUAUCCGAAGGUCUUGAAGUUGGAAAAGUGUCAAAUUCCUCAUCCAAUUCAUCUGGAUGCACAGCUUCUGCUUGCGAAAGUCUAGCAUCCAUGUGUGGUGGAUUCCUUGGCCGGAACCGGUAAUUCCAAAUCCCGAUUACAAACAAAUAAAGAAAACUGGUUGGCAAUAUCAAUUCAGGGUAGAAAAUAAGUAUCAAGAACAAGACAUGAACAAGGCAAGUUGUGAUUGGGUUUCUCCAAGUGCAAAUAUCAUCAAGCCAUUUACACACAGCUGAAAAACCCGAGAGUAGCGACAUUAUGCGGUGAAAAUUGGCUUUGCUUCUCCUUAGACUCCACAUAUGGUAAUCUACAUCAAGCAUGUAUUCAACUGAUUCGCGUCGAAGCGGCGGCUCAGCUCUUGCUAGCCUUGCUGCCACGAUCUGCAUGGCCUGAUAACGGAGCCAAUCAAUGUGGCGAACAGGUAUUGGUUGAACAUAAUGCAUUUUGGGAAGCAAAGGUCUUCCAUAUUGAGCUACCAUAUUAACCCAAGCUGUGCAAGUGAACCUCACAGCCAAGUGAAGCUCUCCAUUCUUCUUUAGGCCAUUGGUUUGGAGAACCAAUAGAGGAUAAUAAUGAGUAUAUACUCUAUCAGUUUCGAGUGUUGAUAACCUUAUUCUCACCUUUCCAAUUCUCUGAUCUUUGUUGUCACUGCUCCCAUUGAGGUGGUGAUUGUCGAAAACACUAACCGUGAUCACAGUGCAUGGAUCAUGAACCUCCCAUGUAUACUGUUCAUUCCACCUAGGCGACAGUGUAUCAAGCAGAGUUCUUGUCCUAACCCAUUUGUUACCGUACUUGGCCACACAGUAUGCAUCAGUAGUCCUACCAUCUUUGCCUUUCAUAGGUAGCAAAUUCCGGGCACUAAGUAUCCCGAGUUCGAGAAUUCCAAUGUUUUUCCUCCUUAAGUGUUUGGACGACGGUUGAAGAUCGCUGCUGAAAUGUGUCGAUUCAUCAAGAACAUGAUACCCUGCUUCCAGACAAAUCCGGAGGUGAAUCUUGCUCGAGAAUUUCUCCUUCUUUCUCUCCGUCUCCUCUUCACCGACCUCACUAGGCCUAUGAAGAUUGAACCAACGUGCAUCCGGGAGCUUACCCGUCUCUUGUCUUUGCGGAACAUUUCUCACCGACAUGACCUCUCUUCCCAAGAUUUCAACAUUGUUAGGACCAAAUUUGUCCUCAACUGUCACAAUUAUAAAAUCCUCAAAAGGAUCAGCAGCAACAAACAUAACCUCCUCAUUCCAAAUUGGAUUAAUAGCUCUCAUUUGAGAAGGCCUAGUAAACCUCAUCUGAUUCCCUAGCUGCACCCUAACAGAAGCUUGUGGAACCCUUCCUUUAUCAGAAGGAGCAAGAUCU